GACGAACGCUGGCGGCGUGCCUAAUACAUGCAAGUAGAACGCUGAAGAGAGGAGCUUGCUCUUCUUGGAUGAGUUGCGAACGGGUGAGUAACGCGUAGGUAACCUGCCUUGUAGCGGGGGAUAACUAUUGGAAACGAUAGCUAAUACCGCAUAACAAUGGAUGACACAUGUCAUUUAUUUGAAAGGGGCAAUUGCUCCACUACAAGAUGGACCUGCGUUGUAUUAGCUAGUAGGUGAGGUAAUGGCUCACCUAGGCGACGAUACAUAGCCGACCUGAGAGGGUGAUCGGCCACACUGGGACUGAGACACGGCCCAGACUCCUACGGGAGGCAGCAGUAGGGAAUCUUCGGCAAUGGGGGCAACCCUGACCGAGCAACGCCGCGUGAGUGAAGAAGGUUUUCGGAUCGUAAAGCUCUGUUGUAAGUCAAGAACGGGUGUGAGAGUGGAAAGUUCACACUGUGACGGUAGCUUACCAGAAAGGGACAGCUAACUACGUG
rnacentral:rRNA from 1 species